GCAGUCGACGAGUUCUCGUUGAUGAUCGGUGCUUGCACCGAGAUUCAACAUGGAACGAGUGGCGGACGGGUGAGUAACACGUGGGUAACCUGCCCUUAAGUGGGGGAUAACAUUUGGAAACAGAUGCUAAUACCGCAUAGAUCCAAGAACCGCAUGGUUCUUGGCUGAAAGAUGGCGUAAGCUAUCGCUUUUGGAUGGACCCGCGGCGUAUUAGCUAGUUGGUGAGGUAAUGGCUCACCAAGGCGAUGAUACGUAGCCGAACUGAGAGGUUGAUCGGCCACAUUGGGACUGAGACACGGCCCAAACUCCUACGGGAGGCAGCAGUAGGGAAUCUUCCACAAUGGACGCAAGUCUGAUGGAGCAACGCCGCGUGAGUGAAGAAGGCUUUCGGGUCGUAAAACUCUGUUGUUGGAGAAGAAUGGUCGGCAGAGUAACUGUUGUCGGCGUGACGGUAUCCAACCAGAAAGCCACGGCUAACUACGUGCCAGCAGCCGCGGUAAUACGUAGGUGGCAAGCGUUAUCCGGAUUUAUUGGGCGUAAAGCGAGCGCAGGCGGUUUUUUAAGUCUGAUGUGAAAGCCCUCGGCUUAACCGAGGAAGCGCAUCGGAAACUGGGAAACUUGAGUGCAGAAGAGGACAGUGGAACUCCAUGUGUAGCGGUGAAAUGCGUAGAUAUAUGGAAGAACACCAGUGGCGAAGGCGGCUGUCUGGUCUGUAACUGACGCUGAGGCUCGAAAGCAUGGGUAGCGAACAGGAUUAGAUACCCUGGUAGUCCAUGCCGUAAACGAUGAAUGCUAGGUGUUGGAAGGGUUUCCGCCCUUCAGUGCCGCAGCUAACGCAUUAAGCAUUCCGCCUGGGGAGUACGACCGCAAGGUUGAAACUCAAAGGAAUUGACGGGGGCCCGCACAAGCGGUG
rnacentral:rRNA from 1 species